AACGAACGCUGGCGGCGUGCCUAACACAUGCAAGUCGUGCGAGAAAGUUCCUUCGGGAGCGAGUAAAGCGGCGCACGGGUGAGUAACACGUAGGUAACCUGCCCCCCAGUCUGGAACAACUAGAGGAAACUCUAGCUAAUGCCGGAUGAGACCACGAUCCCUUCGGGGGUUGCGGCCAAAGAUGGCCUCUACUUGUAAGCUAUCGCUGAGGGAUGGGCCUGCGGGCCAUUAGCUUGUUGGUGAGGUAACGGCUCACCAAGGCUGUGAUGGCUAGCUGGUCUGAGAGGAUGACCAGCCACACUGGGACUGAGACACGGCCCAGACUCCUACGGGAGGCAGCAGUGGGAAUAUUGCGCAAUGGGCGAAAGCCUGACGCAGCGACGCCGCGUGGGUGAUGAAGGCCUUCGGUCGGUAAG
rnacentral:rRNA from 1 species